rnacentral:rRNA from 1 species
AGAGUUUGAGUCCUGGCUCAGGACGAACGCUGCGGCAUGCUUAACACAUGCAAGUCGAACGGAGCACCCCUGAACGAGGUUUCGGCCGAAGUGACGGGAAUGCUUAGUGGCGGACGGGUGAGUAACGCGUGAGCAACCUGCCUUGAAUGGGGGACAACAGUUGGAAACGACUGCUAAUACCGCAUAAUAUAUCUGAGUCGCAUGGCUUGGAUAUCAAAGAUUUAUCGCUUCAAGAUGGGCUCGCGUCUGAUUAGGGUAGUUGGCGGGGUAACGGCCCACCAAGCCGACGAUCAGUAGCCGGACUGAGAGGUUGAACGGCCACAUUGGGACUGAGAUACGGCCCAGACUCCUACGGGAGGCAGCAGUGGGGAAUAUUGGGCAAUGGGCGCAAGCCUGACCCAGCAAUGCCGCGUGAAGGAAGAAGGCUUUCGGGUUGUAAACUUCUUUGACAGGGGAAGAGCAGAAGACGGUACCCUGAAAACAAGCCACGGCUAACUACGUG